rnacentral:rRNA from 1 species
AUGAAUAAAGGCAUCUUAUAUGAUUGGUCAAUGUGUUUGCAGGGAGAGUCUGUCUCUUGCUACUGCAGGGUAGAUGGAGGCCUUAAAACUGUCGUCAAUGCUAGAAAGUUUGUCCCUGGUGCUAGGCUGUGCAUGCAACCUGAUGUCAAACCGAACAAGCGCAAGUCAAGGAGCUCACGCAAGGAGAGGUGCCGAACUCAGGCGCCGCUUCUGCCUGGCCUUCCUGAUGACCUGGCUAUUUCAUGUCUGAUGCGGGUUUCUCGAGCUGAGCACCCUAAUCUUCACUUGGUCUGUAGAAAAUGGAGCCGACUUUUAUCUGGGAAUUAUUAUUACUCACUGCGGAAGAAAUGUGGCAUGGAAGAAGAAUGGGUUUACGUCUUCAAAAGGGAUCGUGAUCAGAAACUAUCUUGGCAUGCCUUUGAUCCAGUGCACCAGCUCUGGAGGUCACUUCCUCCAGUUCCACCAGAGUAUUCGGAAGCCGUGGGCUUUGGUUGCGCUGUUCUCAGUGGCUGCUAUUUGUACCUAUUUGGUGGCAAAAACCCAGUACGGGGGUCUAUGAGGCAUGUCGUGUAUUACAAUACUCGGACAAACAAGUGGUACCGGGCUCCAGAUAUGCUACGGAAGCGGCACUUGUUUGGCUCUUGUGUCAUAAACAACUGUCUCUAUGUUGCCGGUGGGGAGUGUGAAGGGACACAGAGAACUCUAAGAUCUGCUGAGGUUUACAAUCCGAACAGGACUAGAUGGUCUUGCAUCACUGAAAUGAACACAGGAAUGGUGCCGUUCACUGGAGUUGUAUAUGAUGGCAAAUGGUUCCUAAAGGGACUUGAUUCUCACCGCCAGGUUGUGAGCGAGGUCUAUCUGCCAACAUCCAACACGUGGUCGACCACUGGUAAUGCACUGGUUGCAGCCUUGCGGAAUCCAACCAUUUCCUUUAAUGGUCGUCUUUAUUCAGCGGAUUGUCGGGAUGCCUGCAAGCUAAGAGUUUAUGAUGGGGACAUAGGAUUGUGGACAAGAUUCAUGGACAGUAGACGCCAUCUGGGCAGCUCACGAGCUUUUGAAGCCGUGGCUUUGGUCUCACUGAAUGGAAAGAUCUGUGUUAUCCGUAAUAACAUGGGCAUGACCCUUGUUGAUGUCUGUGACCCAACAAAAGUUAUUGAGAUGGAGAGUGCCCGUGUGUGGGAGACUUUUGCCCGGAAGGGCCACCAGCACAGGUCUUUGAUGGCUAAUUUGUGGUCAGCAAUUGCAGGUCGUAAUUUGAAGGCCCACAUCAUACAUUGUCAAGUUCUCCAAGCUUGA